GCCACCGCUCCGGCUCCCGACGCCGUGACCAGGAGCACCUGGAGCGGCUGGAGCACUUCCGCACGCUGCAGGAGCUGCUCAACAAGAUGGCCGCCGCGCCUAUCGACCUGCCCGGCCCUGGCUGCACGGGGCUGGAGUCGGCCGUGCCGGAUCUCACCGAGCUGCGAGCGCAGUGGCGCCGCCUCGAGACCAUGGUGCGGGACGAGGCCGAGUCGGCGCGCACUCGCAGCGAUGUCGUGCUCCGUCUGUCCGGCAUCUCCGAGUCGACGCAGUGAGCGCCGCCUCGCGCCCCGGCGCUCCGUCCGGUCGGCGGACGCGGAGCCGUUCCGGACCGUCUCCGGAGGCGGAGCAGCGACGCGUGAUGUCGGGCGCCGCUGCGUCCGGCCGGCGGACGCGGAGCCGUCCGGACCGUCUCCAGGGGCGGAGCCGCGACGCGUGAUGUCGGGCGCCGCCUGUCCGGCAUCUCCGAGUCGACGCAGUGAGCGUCGCCCCGCGCUCCGACGCUUCGUCCGGUCGGCGGACGCGGAGCCGUCCCGGACCGUCUCCGGAGACGGAGCAGCGACGCGUGAUGUCGGGCGCCGCCUGUCCGGCAUCUCCGAGUCGACGCAGUGAGCGUCGCCUCGCGCUCCGACGCUCCGUCUGGUCGGCGGACGCGGAGCCGUCCCGGACCGUCUCCGGAGACGGAGCAGCGACGCGUGAUGUCGGACGCCGCCGCCGUCUGAUCCUGGGCUCCAGGCGGACGGGUGGCGAAGCGGGGCCCACCGGGCGCGCGCGUCGUGCUGGCCUCGGUACGGAGCGAUGCCGUGCGGUUGCAAGAAACAUCCGUCGACUUCAUCGAAAUGAGAAAAUCAUUGGUAGAGCCGAUAGCCUGGCGUCUGCAUCCCCUGCGCGUGCAGGCGAACAUCAUUGGUCUCAAUCGCCGACUAUUGGUAGUGUGCGUCGGUCGCCUGUUCAGGAACGCCCACUAUGGCGGCGAGUGCGCGCAGUGCUCACGUCCCCACCGGCUGCCGCCUGUUUUAGCGUCCGCCUGUAGCCGAGUUUUCCAAAAAUCGUGCUCUCCAUCAGCUCUAUGGACUUUUCCCGGGAAAUGUUUCUGUAGUCCGUGUACCGGCCUUGUCUGCGAAUAAAUUACCCCGCCGCGCAGCA